rnacentral:ribozyme from 10 species
AAGGAAAAAUGUGACCUUCCAGAUCAAAUUUGUCUGAACAUUCUUCUUGUUCUUUCUUCCUUUUGGCCUGCUUUUUCUUCUUCUUCUUUCUCA